rnacentral:tRNA from 1 species
GCCGGGGUGGCGGAAUUGGUAGACGCACAGGACUUAAAAUCCUGUGAACCGCAAGGUUCGUGCGGGUUCGAUUCCCGCCCUCGGCA